AAGUGAGAAGCAAAUAUUGCAAUCAGUUUCGACCUGAUCAUAGAUAAACCGAACUUAUCCUCACUUU
rnacentral:tRNA from 1 species